AUCGUAACAAGGUCUCCGUUGGUGAACCAGCGGAGGGAUCAUUACCGAGUUUACAACUCCCAAACCCCUGUGAACAUACCUAUACGUUGCCUCGGCGGAUCAGCCCGCGCCCCGUAAAAAGGGACGGCCCGCCCGAGGACCCCUAAACUCUGUUUUUAGUGGAACUUCUGAGUAAAACAAACAAAUAAAUCAAAACUUUCAACAACGGAUCUCUUGGUUCUGGCAUCGAUGAAGAACGCAGCAAAAUGCGAUAAGUAAUGUGAAUUGCAGAAUUCAGUGAAUCAUCGAAUCUUUGAACGCACAUUGCGCCCGCCAGUAUUCUGGCGGGCAUGCCUGUUCGAGCGUCAUUUCAACCCUCAAGCUCAGCUUGGUGUUGGGACUCGCGGUAACCCGCGUUCCCCAAAUCGAUUGGCGGUCACGUCGAGCUUCCAUAGCGUAGUAAUCAUACACCUCGUUACUGGUAAUCGUCGCGGCCACGCCGUAAAACCCCAACUUCUGAAUGUGACCUCGGAUCAGGUAG
rnacentral:rRNA from 1 species